rnacentral:rRNA from 1 species
AUUGAACGCUAGCGGGAUGCUUUACACAUGCAAGUCGAACGGAGUGGCGAACGGGUGAGUAAUGUAUCGGAACGUGCCCAGUAGUGGGGGAUAACUACGCGAAAGCGUAGCUAAUACCGCAUACUAUUGGAGCGGCCGAUAUCGGAUUAGCUAGUUGGGGAGGUAACGGCUCACCAAGGCGACGAUCCGUAGCUGGUUUGAGAGGACGACCAGCCACACUGGGACUGAGACACGGCCCAGACUCCUACGGGAGGCAGCAGUGGGGAAUUGUGGACAAUGGGGGGAACCCUGAUCCAGCCAUGCCGCGUGUGUGAAGAAGGCCUUAUGGUUGUAAAGCACUUUAAGCGAGGAGGCGUUACUCGCAGAAUAAGCACCGGCUAACUCUGUGCCAGCAGCCGCGGUAAUUC